rnacentral:rRNA from 1 species
AUGCAGCAGUCGCGAAAACUCUGCAAUACGCGAAAGCGUGACAGGGCUACCCCGAGUGUCGUCCGCUGAGGACGACUUUUCCACGCUGUAAGGAGGCGUGGGAAUAAGGAGAGGGCAAGUCUGGUGUCAGCCGCCGCGGUAAUACCAGCUCUCCGAGUGGUAGGGACGUUUAUUGGGCUUAAAGCGUCCGUAGCCGGCUCAACAAGUCUCCCGUUAAAUCCAGCGAUUCAAUCGUUGGACUGCGGGAGAUACUGUUAGGCUAGGGGGCGGGAGAAGCCGACGGUAUUUCCGGGGUAGGGGUAAAAUCCUAUAAUCCCGGGAGGACCACCAGUGGCGAAGGCUGUUGGCUAGAACACGCCCGACGGUGAGGGAUGAAAGCUGGGGGAGCGAACCGGAUUAGAUACCCGGGUAGUCC